rnacentral:miRNA from 1 species
UGAUUAAUUUGAUAAGGUAU